AUUGAACGCUGGCGGCAUGCUUUACACAUGCAAGUCGAACGGUAACAGGCCUUCGGGUGCUGACGAGUGGCGUACGGGUGAGUAAUGCAUCGGAACGUACCCAGAGGUGGGGGAUAACGCAGCGAAAGCUGUGCUAAUACCGCAUGUGAUCUGAGGAUGAAAGCGGGGGACCGAGCAGCAAUGUUUGGCCUCGCGCCUUUGGAGCGGCCGAUGUCGGAUUAGCUAGUUGGUGGGGUAAAGGCCUACCAAGGCGACGAUCCGUAGCUGGUCUGAGAGGACGACCCGCCACACUGGGACUGAGACACGGCCCAGACUCCGACGGGAGGCAGCAGUGGGGAAUUUUGGGCAAUGGGCGCAAGCCUGAUCCAGCAAUGCCGCGUGCGGGAAGAAGGCCUUCGGGUUGUAAACCGCUUUUGGCAGGAACGAAACGGUGUCCGCUUAUACCGGGCGCUAAUGACGGUACCUGCAGAAUAAGCACCGGCUAACUACGUG
rnacentral:rRNA from 1 species